UACAGAGGGUGCGAGCGUUAAUCGGAAUUACUGGGCGUAAAGGGCGCGUAGGCGGCAUAUUAAGUUAGAUGUGAAAUCCCUGGGCUUAACCUAGGACUUGCAUUUAAGACUGAUAAGCUAGAGUAAUGUAGAGGGAAGUGGAAUUUCCGGUGUAGCGGUGAAAUGCGUAGAUAUCGGAAAGAACAUCAGUGGCGAAGGCGGCUUCCUGGACAUAUACUGACGCUGAGGCGCGAAAGCAUGGGUAGCAAACAGG
rnacentral:rRNA from 1 species